UAGGCCUUACGAAAUAAAUAAAAUAAUCUACGUGGGUAGACCGCAUAAAAUACAUUACAGGAACUAAAUGCCACAGAAGCAAAUUAUGACAAAAGGAAGGACCGCAAACGUUUCCUAUAAUGUUAUCAUAAUACUAUAGAUCAGAUAAUUUCAGCGAUACUUGUGGUUUAAUUUUACGUCACAUUUUUAACCGUGAUAUUAUUAUUUUCAUUAGAAUCGUUGUAGGUGGAUGGCGUUGUAAAUCGUUGGUUUUCAUUGCGGCCUUGUCUCAGUACAGCAAUUUGGUGUCACUGAUUAACUGCUCGAUACCAUUCCAUUAUAUUCUCGAUUUUAUCUUACUCCAUGGUAUCGACAUAAUAAUAAAACAAUUUCCGAAAUUGCCAGUUAUCAUAUUAAUUCGAUUGGUAGGUAGGUAUCACGAUUAUAAUCUAUGGUUACUUACAGUAAUGAUCACGACUAACCGUGAUAUGAAGAAUAAUCGUGGACGCCAAUAUUAUUAUUUUGAUAAGAGCCGUAGAUUAAUUUUUCCUAGUGACAUACCUGUGAACUAUAUACAAUGUAUAGUUUAGUGUAUAUAUUAUGUAUAUUAUACAUAGUCAUAAUUAGCGAUUACUUUAUCGUUAAUAAAAUACACGAUAAGGUGUAAAUAAUGUGUGCUGGUGUUCACAUUCCUGUGUAGGAGGGUUUGAGGAGAGGACCCCGUUCUGUUAGAAUAUGAGAAAACUUCGGGAGCCAUCAACUUAUCACUAUAUUUGUACAUACGAACUCGUCGUGCAACCGAUCUAUCUACAAUAUCGUGG